UACGUAGGGUGCAAGCGUUGUCCGGAAUUAUUGGGCGUAAAGAGCUCGUAGGCGGUUUGUCGCGUCUGCUGUGAAAACUGGAGGCUCAACCUCCAGCCUGCAGUGGGUACGGGCAGACUAGAGUGCGGUAGGGGAGAUUGGACUUCCUGGUGUAGCGGUGGAAUGCGCAGAUAUCAGGAGGAACACCGAUGGCGAAGGCAGAUCUCUGGGCCGCUACUGACGCUGAGGAGCGAAAGCAUGGGGAGCGAACAGG
rnacentral:rRNA from 1 species